rnacentral:rRNA from 1 species
UACGUAGGGUGCGAGCGUUAAUCGGAAUUACUGGGCGUAAAGCGUGCGCAGGCGGUUUUGUAAGCCAGAUGUGAAACCCCCGGGCUUAACCUGGGAAUGGCAUUUGGGACUGCAAGGCUGGAGUUUGGCAGAGGAGACUGGAAUUCCUGGUGUAGCAGUGAAAUGCGUAGAUAUCAGGAGGAAUACCGAUGGCGAAGGCAGGUCUCUGGGCUAUAACUGACGCUCAUGCACGAAAGCGUGGGGAGCAAACAGG